GACGAACGCUGGCGGCGUGCUUAACACAUGCAAGUCGAACGGAAAGGCCCUGCUUUUGUGGGGUGCUCGAGUGGCGAACGGGUGAGUAACACGUGAGUAACCUGCCCUUGACUUUGGGAUAACUUCAGGAAACUGGGGCUAAUACCGGAUAGGAGCUCCUGCUGCAUGGUGGGGGUUGGAAAGUUUCGGCGGUUGGGGAUGGACUCGCGGCUUAUCAGCUUGUUGGUGGGGUAGUGGCUUACCAAGGCUUUGACGGGUAGCCGGCCUGCGAGGGUGACCGGCCACAUUGGGACUGAGCUACGGCCCAGACUCCUACGGGAGGCAGCAGUGGGGAAUAUUGCACAAUGGGCGGAAGCCUGAUGCAGCAACGCCGCGUGCGGGAUGACGGCCUUCGGGUUGUAAACCGCUUUCGCCUGUGACGAAGCGUGAGUGACGGUAAUGGGUAAAGAAGCACCGGCUAACUACGUG
rnacentral:rRNA from 1 species